AUUGAACGCUGGCGGCAUGCCUUACACAUGCAAGUCGAACGGCAGCACGGGAGCAAUCCUGGUGGCGAGUGGCGAACGGGUGAGUAAUACAUCGGAACGUGCCCAGUAGUGGGGGAUAGCCCGGCGAAAGCCGGAUUAAUACCGCAUACGACCUAUGGGUGAAAGCGGGGGAUCGCAAGACCUCGCGCUAUUGGAGCGGCCGAUGUCAGAUUAGCUAGUUGGUGGGGUAAAGGCCUACCAAGGCGACGAUCUGUAGCUGGUCUGAGAGGACGACCAGCCACACUGUGACUGAGACACGGCCCAGACUGCUCAGGGAGGCAGCAGUGGGGAAUUGUGGACAAUGGGCGCAAGCCUGAUCCAGCCAUGCCGCGUGCGGGUAGAAGGCCUUCGGGUUGUAAACCGCUUUUGUCAGGGAAGAAACGCUCCGAGUUAAUACCUCGGAGUAAUGACGGUACCUGAAGAAUAAGCACCGGCUAACUACGUGCCAGCAGCCGCGGUAA
rnacentral:rRNA from 1 species